GUAUCUUACAUUGCUAAGUAUAGAACUGCAUGCUCGAACAAGAAGAGAUUUGGAGGCGGAUCCUGAAUUUGACCCUAUCUGUGCUUUAUUCUACUGCAUCUCAUCUGACACACCAUUGCCAGAGACUGAGAAAAUGGAAAUCACUGGUGCUAUAGUGAUAGAUAAAGACAGAGCAAGAUCUAUCUCCAGCCAAGGUAAUAGAGAACAUGCCCCUUUGCUAGCAAGAUCUGGUAUCUCAGGGUUGGAAGUCACAUAUGCUACUGAUGAGAGAGCACUUUUCCAGGAGGUAGUGAAUAUUAUUAAAAGAUCAAAUGAAGACUUGACCGCUGAAGGCUUCACUGAAUGAAGAAAGCACACUGAUUUCUCUAUCAUGAAAAAGGCA
ensembl:lncRNA